ensembl:snRNA U6 U6 spliceosomal RNA
GUGCUCGCUUCAGUGGCAUAUAUACUAAAAUUGGAAUGAUGCAAAGAAGAUUAGCAUGGCCCCUGCACAAGGAUGACAGGUAAAUUCUUGAAGUGCUCCAUAUUUUU